UCCGCCAAAGAUAACACCAACGUCGUCCGUGUUUUUACUACCCUGUUGGAUGAGAUCGACAAGGACGAAACGCCUCCCGAGGAUGACUCGUGUAUCAUUUUGUAGAUUUCUUGCUU
rnacentral:ribozyme from 1 species